GGGCAUUUGGUCAAGUGGUAUGAUUCUCACUUUGGGUGCAAGAAGUCCUAAGUUUAAUUCUCAUAAUGCCCU
rnacentral:tRNA from 1 species